rnacentral:rRNA from 1 species
UACUCCCGCCGGCGACCGGCGCACGGGUGAGUAACACGUAUGAAACCUGCCCGUAGCAGGGGGAUAAGCGGAAGAAAUUCCGUCUAAUACCGCGUAACAACCCGAGGAGGCAUCUCCUCGGGUUUAAAGGAAGCGAUUCCGGCUACGGAUGGUCAUGCGUCGCAUUAGCUAGUUGGCGGGGUAACGGCCCACCAAGGCGACGAUGCGUAGGGGUUCUGAGAGGAAGGUCCCCCACACUGGUACUGAGACACGGACCAGACUCCUACGGGAGGCAGCAG